rnacentral:lncRNA from 1 species
UUCAAAGCAGUUGAUGAUUAAUUAGAUGUUGCUUCCUGGUCCUCGGGUAGUCAGUGUGGGGGGAUACAGUUUGAAGAUGGUCAAUUAUGUGCCCAUUUUGGUUGGGCAUAUUCCAGUGACAUGACUGGGAAUCAUGGAUCUUGGAUUUUCAGUGCCAUUAACAUUGAUAGUUCCAGCCGCAGAAGAACAUCAGCUGGAUCUCAAUAGGGAACUUAGACCUAGCUGGGGAUGUUCAGGUCCCAACUAGGAGCCUGAGCAUGUUUCGGUCCCAACUAGGAAUGUGAGCAUGUUUUGGUCUCUACUAGUAUCUUGAGCAUGUUCUGCUCUAACUCUGGCUAGGUGUUUUGGCCCGCGGCUAGGGUUUCUGCUCAUAAGCUUUUGCUGCGCAUCGCCUAUGUCACGGUCGGGCCGAGCGCCGGUGAUGAGGGCGCAAGAUACAGGAGCAUGGCCUUCUUCUCGCGCUGCAGCCUCCGGCUUUGUCCUGCUCGAGGAGGAGGAGGAGCAGGAGGGGCGCACCCAACCACUAAGGUGGCCGUUGUCGAGGGCUUCUUACAUCUGAACCUCGACCUCCACGUCGUCGUUGUCCAGCCACUCAAGUUCAAGGUUUCCCCGUUCCCCUCUCCCCCCUCUCUGUUUGGUUCUUUCUGGUAGUCGUCGAUGUGGUUUCCCACCCAUGCCUCUCUGUUUGCUCUGCUUUGUUGUGGAUGCAGGGAAGGAGAGGUCUCGGCGAGGGCACCAUGGCGGAUGGUCUGGAGCUCGGCGUCAUCUCUACGGGAGGACUGGCUUGUGGAAGUCAUGCAUGAUGCAUCUGGUUAGACCUUUCAUCCUGUAAGGCCCUCCUUAUUAUUCCAUCACUAAUUCCUGGGCCUACCAAAAUCAUUAAUUGACCGUUCUCUGUUUCCAUCUAAUUCUGGAAACGAUUGCCUAAAGCAAAUCUACUAUAUGAGCUCAAAUCCCAGCUUGGGCCCCAAUUAAUUUUGAUUUUGAGUAUCCAUGUUGUACACUGAUGUUAAUUAAUUUGUUCAGGUCGUUUCGAAACUGUUUACAUCACCUUUAGAUUAUAGCCAUUAUUUAGUAACUACCCCGAUUGUGCCAUUGAAUUGUGUACUGGAAUUUGUGCCGUAUAGGUGGACAUACUGUAAGACAACACACCAACACGCUCGUUCUAACAUAAUAUUGUUUUAUGGCCCACAUAUCAUGUUUCAUUUUCCUCUCCUACAUUACUAUGCUACUGUACGCUAUUUCAAUGACCAGAUUGUUCUAGGUCUUAGCAAAAGCAGAGCCUAACGUUGAAGAAUUGUUUGUGUCCUUCGAUCUUCCAGGCUUUCAAAAUGAUUGGUUUAUGUACUAAUUCAGGAUUUUGCCAUGCAUUUACUAGCAGAUUUCUCAUGUUGGGCGAUGGAAUAAGGAUAUGCACAUUUUAGAAGUUCUGUCGGAGUAAGCAUCAACUGAUUGUGAUGACAAAUAGAGCUGAAAAUACGUACAUGCUGCAUAAACAUGGAGUCAGGCUGAUGUUUGUGUGAAAAUAGAUGACAACCGCAGUUUAGAAUCUUCAUAAACACUUAAUAUAGACCUUCCUGGUGAUGUGUUUCCACUGUUUACAUGAACAGGUUUUAGAAGCAGAGAUCAUUGCCACUUUAACUUAAAAGAACUUAUGCAGACAAUUCAUUUGUUUCUUAUAAAUUAUGCUCUUUAUUUGUAAUGUCUGACUCCCUCUCUAAAUUAAUGUUUCUGUCUAAAUCUAUGUAUAUGUGUGCAGACUUGGGCAGAAUUCGAUGAGAAAGAAUUAUAUUGAAGAGUAAUGCAUGCUUCCGUCCUUUAUGGUAGUCGCUUCAGUUUGACCAGACACCUGGCAUGGUGCUUUCUUCCAUAUAUUGUUCUCUCGAAAAAUUUCCUUGUGUAUAGUAUAUUGGAUUCGAUGAUUAUUAUUUUGCCUUCACAGGAUGCUUCAGAAGAUUUUGUUCUUCUUUUAAGGUCGGGAUGACUUUCCAUGCUGUUAUAUACCAUAUAAGAGCUCUCUGGCAGAGAUUACUAUGUUUCACUCCGAAGAAUACAAGAAAAUGGAAGGUACCCAACCUUAGUGCAAGCGUUGUGAACAUAUAUCUGGUCCUCUUGAUUGGACUAUUGGCAGCCUUUUAUUUUGCACAAACUGUUCAUAUAUAUGCAUCUGUUUUUGUAACUACAAAAUGUUGUAAGUGUACUCCAGCGAUGUAUAUAUAUAUUUAUUUACUUUAAGAACAACCUUUCCAUAAAGGAGGUCAUACGCUCCAUACUGACAACACUCGCAAGUAUUUCAACCAUUUAGUAUUUGCGUGUGAGGGAGUAUCCAUGAUUGGAUUGGCAGAGAUCCCCACUUUCGAACCUUUUCCCAUUCAAACUUCAUAUCUCUAGAGCUCCAAUGAAAUUU